rnacentral:lncRNA from 1 species
UGUGAAGGGACGAGGAGCGAUGGCAGACGUCAAUUUUUUUGGUUUUAGUUCGAAAUUUACAAAAAUAGAAGCUUUAGCUAAACAAUGAGCGGUCAAAAAAUCGGCAGAUUCCUUAACAACUACUUCGUGCUUCUAGUAGGCGUCCCUUUGAUAGUUGGCAUUCAUUGGGGCUGGUGGAAAAUACAGCAAAAUCCCGAGUUAGUGGACGCCCAAGACCGCAAGAAAUUGCCUUUGUUCACGGUAUUCCAAGACUUGCAGGCAAAGUGGGCUGGGGUUCCCAGGCCUACUGAUAAGACCCCUGGCAAUGGGCCUUAGCUGGAGAUUGUUCCUAUGUACAUACAGUUAGGGAGCGUCACUUUACUAGAAGGGGCUGCAGAGUUAACGAAUAAAAUGUAGUUUUUGUUAA